rnacentral:misc_RNA from 1 species
AACCUAGCACACCUGCGGUGUGUACCUGCGGAAGGAUCAUUCAUAAUAAGUGUUUUAUGGCACUUUAAAAUCCAUAUCCACCUUGUGUGCAAUGUCGGCCUGAUCACAUCCAGCAAUGGGUGUGUGAAGGGUUUCAUUAUCCACGUCAACGGUUUUUUCUUUAUCAGUCUACAUUCUUUGAGUAAUAAACGAACUCAAAUACAACUUUCAACAACGGAUCU